CCAAUCCAAGCCUGGACUCUGUGCCUGGGUGCACCUGCUGGCAGCGGCUGGGCUGAAGCCCUUGUGCUGAGUAAGGAGACCUGGGCUCCCCACUCCCAGGGGGAGACCCUGACCUGUGGGCCGGCUUAGGCGAGCGUGUUCCCUCUCUGGCCUCAGUUUCCCCUCUGCAAGGGUCUCAGAUCAGGUCUCCUCUCAUUUGUGGAUUCUCACCACUGCAGCGCAAGGCAGAUGGCUCUAGGUUGUUUCUUUUGUCUUGUUACGGCCGCACCUGCAGCAUAUGGAGGUUCCCAGGCUACGGGUUGAAUCAGAGCUGCAGCUGCCAGCCUACCCACAGCCAGAGCAACGCGGGAUCCGAGCCCCAUCUGGACCUACACCACAGCUCACAGCAACACUGGAUCCUUAACUCACUGAGUGGGGCCAGAGAUUGAACCCACAUCCUCAUGGAUACUAGUGGGGCUCAUUACCACUGAGUCACAAUGGGAGCUCCUCCAGAUUGCUUCUAGAAGGACCAAAGGAUUGACUGCCUGGAAGCAGUUCACCAAGCUUGUAGAUCAGGCCAGUUCCAUUUAAGGAGGGGACGGGUCACUGGAGGGACAAAGGGUUGGGGUGGGGGAGGGGCCACGUUGUUUUCACCAACCUCUGACGGGCCGUUUUGAUGAAAGAGCAGUUUGGGCAGGUUCUGGACAGAGCUCCCCAUGGAGUCCUGGCCAUGGGACAUCUUCAGCCAGGGUUGCCUCGUUUCAGCUGAAAGAUGUCAGAGGCUGUGAUGAGCCCGGAAAAAGCCACCUACGGCAGGGAGCUCCUAAAGCAGUAACCAUCAUCUUCAUCUACCGCUGUGACAACCUACGACUAACUGGGAGGCUUAUAAAUAGAAGUUUAUUUCUUGCAAUUAUGUCACAAAGCUGCGAAGUCCAAGAUCAAGACUGCAGCAGACUCAGAGACUGGGUGGGACCUGCUUCCUGGGUCACAUAGAGCAGUUUCCUCUGUGUAUCCACAGGUGGCUGACUGGGUAAGGGAGCUCCCUGGGGUCUCUCUUUUUGUCUUUUUAGGGCUGUACCUGAAGCAUAUGGAAGUUCCCAGGCUAGGAGUUGAAGUGGAGCUGUAGCUACUGGCCACAGCCACAGUCACACAGGAUCUGAGCUGCGUCUGUGACCUACACCACAGCCCACAGCAACGCCGGAUCCUUAGCCCACCGAGUGAGGCCAGGGAUCAAACCUACAUCCUUGUGGAUACUAGUCAGGUUCUUAACCCACUGAGCCACAGUGGGAACUCCUCUCUGGAGUCUCUUUACAAGAGUGCAGGUCCACCGGGAGGGCGCCACAUUUAGGAGCAGAGCACUCCCCCGAGGCCUCAUCUUCAAGCACCAUCACAAUGGGGGUUAGGAUUUCAAUCCAGGAAUGUGGGGGAGGGGACACAAACAUUCAAUCACUCGCACCCAUAAAGCACUUUCUGUCCGUUAGGGUGGAGCAAAGUGGAGAUUUUUUUUUUUUUUCUUAAUAUGACUGGAGGGAAGCUACACACACUUUUCAGAGCACAUUCGCAGGGCCUCAGUUCUCUAGGUAGAGGCUUCAAAGCCCCUCCUUUGAUGAUGACAUCAAGGUGGGCAGGUGGGCAGCUCAGAGCCCUUGGCUUUGGAGAAGUCUCAGCAUUUCAUGUCUAUUUUUUAAGUUCACCCUGAAGGUCACCCUUGUCCAGGAAACAAAGGCUGGGGUUGGGGGAUGUGAGGAUGAAUUAGGC
rnacentral:lncRNA from 9 species